UACGUAGGGGGCGAGCGUUGUCCGAAGUUACUGGGCGUAAAGGGUGCGUAGGCGGCCCGUUAAGUCAGUGGUGAAAGCCUCCAGCUCAACUGGAGAACUGCCAUUGAUACUGGCGGGCUUGAGUACAGACGAGGUAGGCGGAAUUGAUUGUGUAGUGGUGAAAUGCAUAGAUACAAUCAAGAACACCGAUUGCGUAGGCAGCUUACUAGGCUGUAACUGACGCUGAGGCACGAAAGCGUGGGGAGCGAACAGG
rnacentral:rRNA from 1 species